AUGAAAUGGUACCUGAUUAGUACAGUAACCACAGAAAAAUGAGGCGAGCGUCCACACGACAAGAAGUGUGCGGCAGCCAUCCAGGAAAACGAAAAUACAAAUAGUAGGGAGUCAGCGACUUGCAGCAGCCAUAAAACACAGAGGUCCAUUUGUCAACAAUCAACAAACCCCAUCUCAAAUUAUCUUUACCAAACCUAAUCUUUCAGGUUGUUACCAGAGUUAGGAAGCUACACAAAUUUGUCCACAUUUCACGGUGUCCCCACCACCACAGACAAAAAACUAUAUUAUCAUUUUCAUUUAAAACCUCCUCGAUCCCCUUUUUUUCACUAAGUAAUAAUCUAAUAAUUCCGGACCUAUCAUUUCACCUUCCUAAUUCUAUUUGUACUCCAAAAAGUGAGAAGCUUCUUCUUCUGCAUAUAUGCUUUUUUGAAAAUUUACUCUUUUCUCACACAGAGAGAGAGAGAGA
rnacentral:misc_RNA from 1 species